UUCGNNUGGGGGAACCCUGACGCAGCAACGCCGCGUGGAGGAUGAAGCCCCUUGGGGCGUAAACUCCUUUCGACCAAGACGAUAAUGACGGUACUGGUGGAAGAAGCACCGGCUAACUCUGUGCCAGCAGCCGCGGUAAUACAGAGGGUGCGAGCGUUGUUCGGAAUUAUUGGGCGUAAAGGGCGCGUAGGCGGCGCGGUAAGUCACCUGUGAAAUCUCCGGGCUUAACUCGGAGCCUGCAGGCGAAACUGCCGUGCUGGAGUAUGGGAGAGGUGCGUGGAAUUCCCGGUGUAGCGGUGAAAUGCGUAGACAUCGGGAGGAACACCUGUGGCGAAAGCGGCGCACUGGACCAUAACUGACGCUGAGGCGCGAAAGCUAGGGGAGCAAACAGGAUUAGAUACCCUGGUAGUCCUAGCCCUAAACGAUGGAUGCUUGGUGUGGUGGGUACCCAAUCCCACUGUGCCGCAGCUAACGCGAUAAGCAUCCCGCCUGGGGAGUACGGUCGCAAGGCUGAAACUCAAAAGAAUUGACGA
rnacentral:rRNA from 1 species